UACGUAGGUGGCAAGCGUUGUCCGGAAUUAUUGGGCGUAAAGCGCGCGCAGGCGGUCCUUUAAGUCUGAUGUGAAAGCCCACGGCUCAACCGUGGAGGGUCAUUGGAAACUGGGGGACUUGAGUGCAGAAGAGGAAAGCGGAAUUCCACGUGUAGCGGUGAAAUGCGUAGAGAUGUGGAGGAACACCAGUGGCGAAGGCGGCUUUCUGGACGGUUUCUGACGCUAAGACGCGAAAGCGUGGGGAGCAAACAGG
rnacentral:rRNA from 1 species